rnacentral:rRNA from 1 species
GACGAACGCUGGCGGCGUGGAUUAGGCAUGCAAGUCGAACGGUAUGGACCUUUCGGGGUUCAGAGAGUGGCGAACGGGUGAGUAACACGUAGGUAAUCUACCCUCAAGACGGGGACAACCCAGGGAAACUUGGGCUAAUACCGGAUGUGUGUAGUGGCUAUUUUUCUGAUUAUCAUUAUUUACGUAAGUGAGUAAUAAUAAGAAGGGAAAGUGGUUAUUACAUAAAAGGUGGCGUAAGCUGCCGCUUGGGGAUGAGCCUGCGUCCUAUUAGUUAGUUGGUGAGGUAACGGCUUACCAAGGCGAUGAUAGGUAGGCGGCCUUAACGGGUGGUCGCCCACACUGGGAUUGAGAUACGGCCCAGACUCCUACGGGAGGCAGCAGUCGAGAAUAGUCUACAAUGGACGGAAGUCUGAUAGUGCGACGCCGCGUGAACGAAGAAUCCCUUCGGGGUGUAAAGUUCUUUUAUACGUGAGCAGUGUCCUUUAUAUUAAUAGUAUAAGGGGAGAGAUAUUAGCGUAUGAAUAAGCAACGGCUAACUCCGUGCCAGCAGCCGCGGUAACACGGGGGUUGCGAGCGUUGUCCGGAAUUACUAGGCGUAAAGUGCAGGUAGGCGGAUAAAUAAGUUUAAGGUUAAAGGCUACGGCUUACCCGUAGUAAGGCGUUAGAUACUGUUUAUCUGGAAUGCGGUUGAGGGAGACAGAAUUCCUGGUGUAGCGGUGGAAUGCGCAGAGAUCAGGAGGAAUACCGAAGGCGAAGGCAGUCUUCUAAGCCGAUAUUGACGCUAAACUGCGAAGGUGUGGGGAUCAAACAGGAUUAGAUACCCUGGUAGUCCACACAGUAAACGAUAAUCACUAGGUGUUGGGUUCUUAAGAGGAUUCAGUGCCGGAGCUAACGCGAUAAGUGAUUCGCCUGGGGAGUACGAUCGCAAGGUUGAAACUCAA